rnacentral:rRNA from 1 species
AGACUUUGAUCCUGGCUCAGGAUGAACGCUGACAGAAUGCUUAACACAUGCAAGUCUACUUGAUCCUUCGGGUGAUGGUGGCGGACGGGUGAGUAACGCGUAAAGAACUUGCCUUGCAGUUUGGGACAACGUCUGGAAACGGACGCUAAUACCGGAUAUUAUGAUUGGAUCGCAUGAUUUGAUUAUGAAAGCUAUAUGCGCUGCGAGAGAGCUUUGCGUCCCAUUAGUUAGUUGGUGAGGUAACGGCUCACCAAGACGAUGACGGGUAGCCGGCCUGAGAGGGUGAACGGCCACAAGGGGACUGAGACACGGCCCUUACUCCUACGGGAGGCAGCAGUGGGGAAUAUUGGACAAUGGACCAAAAGUCUGAUCCAGCAAUUCUGUGUGCACGAUGAAGUUUUUCGGAAUGUAAAGUGCUUUCAGUUGGGAAGAAGAAAGUGACGGUACCAACAGAAGAAGCGACGGCUAAUACGUGCCAGCAGCCGCGGUAAUACGUAUGUCGCAAGCGUUAUCCGGAUUUAUUGGGCGUAAAGCGCAUCCAGGCGGUUUGGUAAGUCUGAUGUGAAAAUGCGGGGCUCAACUCCGUAUUGCGUUGGAAACUGCCAAACUAGAGUACUGGAGAGGUAGGCGGAACUACAAGUGUAGAGGUGAAAUUCGUAGAUAUUUGUAGGAAUGCCGAUGGGGAAGCCAGCCUACUGGACAGAUACUGACGCUAAAGCGCGAAAGCGUGGGUAGCAAACAGGAUUAGAUACCCUGGUAGUCCACGCCGUAAACGAUGAUUACUAGGUGUUGGGGGUCGAACCUCAGCGCCCAAGCUAACGCGAUAAGUAAUCCGCCUGGGGAGUACGUACGCAAGUAUGCAACUCAAAGGAAUUGA